rnacentral:miRNA from 1 species
CUUAGCACCGAGUAAGCACUCA